GCGGUGCUUCCGGUUCCGGUGUGGGCGGUGGCGGCGGGAUGGACCGGGAGCUGCUGCGUCAGGCGCUGAGCUACCACGGCCCCGAGCUGCUGUCGCUGCUCCGCGCCGAGCAGCACGACAACCCCGAUUUCCGCGGACUGCUGCCGCCGCCGGGGACCAGCUUCGAACCGCCCCGCGGGGCCUCGACGGCCGCCGGGAAAGAGACGUCGAGCAUUGACACCGAGAUAAAGCGCUUCAUUGCCAAAAAAGCAGAUCUCCUGUUUGCCCACUCGUGGAAACCCAAUGGGCCCUUCUCAGACACGAUUGAAGAAAAUGAAGAGUAUUAUGCUGUUAUGCCUCCCCUGGAGCAGUUCAUGGAAGUUCCUAGGGAAGAGAGGAGAGAAUUGUUUUUUCGAGACAUUGAACGUGGUGAUAUCGUGAUUGGGAGGAUUACUUCUAUUCGUGAAUUUGGCUUUUUCAUGGUGUUGAUAUGUCUGGGAAGUGGUGUCAUACGGGAGAUUUCAGAUUUAGAAAUCACAGCUCUGUGUCCUUUGAGAGAUGUCCCUUCUCAAAGCAACCAUGGAGAUCCUUUAUCUUACUAUCAAACUGGGGACCUUAUUCGAGCUGCGAUCAAGGACAUUGAUCGUUACCAUGAGAAGCUCACGGUGUCGCUUUACAGCUCAGCUCUUCCACCCAGCCUUUCCAGUACAAAACUAGGCGUAAUUACUUCUGAUGACUUCCCGUUACAUUAUAAGCGAAGCAUGGAAGUUGCUAAUACAGGAGAGACAUUUGAAGAGGUUUUGCAUCGUUCCCCAGGAUUUGCUAAUCCAUCGUUAGUUGAAUAUCUAGCAGAAAAACUAGGAAUAAGUGAAUCAAAUCCACCGUCUUUGAUGAGAAGUCUUCAAAUGAAAAAUUUCAAUGAAGAAGAUUUUGCCCCUGCACUGAGGAAAAAGCAGUCUGAAUCUUGGGCCUUGAAAUGUGUGAAGGCUGGGGUUGAUUAUUUUAAGGUUGGGUGCCAUGUAGAAGCCAUGAAUGAGUACAACAAGGCUUUGGAAAUUGAUCCUCAAAAUGUUGAAGCUUUGGUAGCACGUGGAGCUCUGUAUGCAACAAAAGGAAGUUUGAACAAAGCCAUAGGUGAUUUUGAAAUUGCUUUAGAAAACUGUCCUACCCAUAGAAAUGCGAGAAAAUACCUCUGUCAGACACUGGUGGAAAGAGGCGGGCAGUUGGAAGAGGAAGAGAAACUACUAAAUGCUGAGAGUUACUAUAAAAAAGCCUUACAUUUGGAUGAGACUUUUCAGGAAGCAGAAGAGGCCUUAACAAAACUCCGUAAGCACAUGCAGGUGAUUCUUUACUUUCUCUUCAUUAGUGCUGUCAAUGACAAUAACCGGACAUCAAAAAUCAUACUUAAAGCUUUUGAACAGGGAUAGUUUAAGUUUAUAGUUUGUCUUACUCUCUGCUUCCCUUCUCCCCAGUAAAUCUUCUAUAGUGAGCAUUAUGGCUGUACCUACCAGAAGAAAGGUACCUCUUGAUGACUGCACUGUUUGGAACAGGAUAGUAAAGGAAUGCCAAACAGUGGAGACGGGGGAAGAGCAAAGCCUGUUAACUCUGUCAGUUAACACAAGGAUAAGAGUAUUCCACCACACAAGCAUGAUUACUAACGUUAAACUAAAACAUUCUGUGAAUACAGGCAUGUAAGUGUAAAACACUUAGGCAAGCUAGAUAAGCGUUGCACACCAUUGUACCAGCCAGAUUCGUGUCGUUUGGAGUAGUUAUGAAAAGAGAGAGUAACACCAGGAAGAUCACAUGAGAGUGGAUAUUAAGAGGUGAUUUAAAGGAAAUCAGUAGGAUGUGGAGGGUGAGUGGGCAGGCAGUUUUGAAUAUCUUAGCCUUCUUCUCUGCUAUCUAUUUUUUUCUCUUCUCUUGCACGCAGCAUGUUUCUCUGGUGAGCCCUGGUGGGUCUGUGUGCUAAUCCGAGUUGCUAUCUUUUUUCUUUUAUUUACCUCCUUUACUUGUAUUGUCUUCCAGAGAAAAUCAAAGUAAAACAGACCACUGUGGAACAGGCUUGUCUUGUUCUAUGCUUCUUCAUGUAAGGAAAUACAUAGUUUAGGGUAGAUGGCUGUAAUUGACACUUCUUCAGUUGGUGGAGCCAUAAUGCUGACAGAUGGUGUUGAAAGAAGGGGGAAGAUGAGAUAUGACAAUCUUCUUAAUAAAGCUGAACUAUGUUGUAGAUAAACUGACCUAUCGUAUUUGAUUACUAGCCACAUUUGGCUGCUUUAGAAAGAGGUGUCUAGUCUCAGUUAAAAUGAUGAAGAAUAUUCUCAGCAAGUAGUAGAUAAUUUUUGCUCUCCUUUACCAUUUUCCUAGUGUAAUGGAUCACUGAUGCAGGGGAUAAAAAACACAGUGCUACCUAUUGUUUGUUGGUGUGCACAGCCUUAACUACAGUUAAGGGUUUCCUUUAUUAUAUCUGUUAAGAUAGUUGCUAAGUUUUGAAAACCAUCAAACUUUCUGCUCACUUUGAAUAUGAAUAGAGCUAAUCUUCAGGGCUGUAGGUGGCAGAGGUCUGAUCUUUGAUAGAGUGAAGUAGUUUAAGUUAAUCUUUUAGAUUAUUUGUCUGAUGAGAUGCUUUUCUGCAUUUACAUGUAUUUUAAUGUGUAAGUCUGAUACUAUCCAUCACUGUUGUGCUAGAAUGGCUGAAAUAACACUGAAGUUUAUUUUCCUGUAAUACUGAUUAUGUGUUUUUCUCCAAUGCAUUUUCUUCUGAAUUGGACCGUUGUUGCUGUAUCUGACAUCUGGUGCUGCUCAUCACCAACAAACCCUUGGAAAAUGAUUUCUUACGUAAACUAUGCAUCAAACUGGUCUGUGAAAUUGUUAAAAAACGAAAUCUUUGGAAAUGAGGGAGAAACAAGCUGCCAAAGAAGAGAGAGAGAAAGAAAAGAAAGUAGAAACGAGUGCAGAAAAAUUGCGUAAGCUCUUAAAAGAAGAAAAAAGGUAACUGUAAUAUUCAGUGUACUGAUUAUGGGGCAGUAAGUGCAGAUAAGACUGUGAACAAUCAAUUUCCAAACAGAUUGUCCAACAGUAAGCUAAGUAGAACUUCUACCUAGGUAAGCUGCUUUUCCUCCAGAUUUUUUUUUGUGGGUAGCAUCUUGUAAUGAUUAUAGUCUUUAAAAGAGACAAGUGUGACAGCCAAGUUGUUUUAAAUGUGCUUUGCAAUAUGAAGUAUUUGCAAAAUGUAAUGCCAUAUUAAACCGGGAAAGAUGCUUUUUAUAGCAGACUGUUUGGUAGAUUUAAUCUUAAUUUUCUGGUAAAGUAAUGACGUUUGAAAUUGUCUUUCCAGGUCAUGCUCGGUUUCUCAUUCAUGCCUUACAGUCUGAUCUUAGCAGAACUCUGGGGAGUAGAGAUUUGGUUUCUACAUAAAAUUUUUGCCUGAUACUGAAGAUUAUCUCACAUGUUGAUUACGUUUUUUAGGUUGAAGAAGAAAAGGAAAGUAUCAACUUCUUCUUCCUCUUCUUCCUCCUCUUCCUCCUCCUCCUCAUCAUCAAGUGAUUCUUCAUCAGAUGCAUCAAUUUCUUCCUCUUCCUCUGAUCACAAGAAACGCAGGAAAAAGCAU